rnacentral:rRNA from 1 species
AUGGAUGUAAACCUAAAAGUGAUAUUUUGGAACGUCCGUGGUCUCAAUAGCCAGGCGAAGCGUGUUGCCGUUCUCUCUGUGAUUAAUUCUGCCUCCCCUUCUAUCGUUUGCCUGCAAGAGACCAAGCUCUCGUCGAUCCCAUCUGCUUUGGUGUUCGAAACCCUGGGCAGUCAGUUUGAUGGGUACUUCUUUAUUCCGGCGAUUGACACCCGUGGAGGCGUUUUACUUGCCUGGCAAUCUAGCUUGCUCUCCUCUCCAACCCGACGAUCGGCGAUCACCAUGUUUCCGCGGUUGUUAGACCGACCUCGGGCGGCUCCCAUUGGUGGCUCACCGGAGUCUAUGGCCCACAAGGUGAUGAUGCUAAGCUCGCAUUUCUCAACGAGCUUCAAGACCUACGCACGACCAUCGCUGGCCCCUGGCUUCUAG